rnacentral:rRNA from 1 species
UGGGGAAUUUUACGCAAUGGGGGAAACCCUGACGUAGCGACACCGCGUGAGCGAAGAAGCCUUUUGGGGUGUAAAGCUCUGUCAGCUGGAACGAACACAAUGACGGUACCAGCAGAGGAAGCCACGGCUAACUACGUGCCAGCAGCCGCGGUAAUACGUAGGUGGCAAGCGUUGUCCGGAUUUACUGGGCGUAAAGGGAGCGUAGGCAGACUUUUAAGUGAGAUGUGAAAUACCCGGGCUCAACCUGGGUGCUGCAUUUCAAACUGGAAGUCUAGAGUGCAGGAGAGGAGAGUGGAAUUCCUAGUGUAGCGGUGAAAUGCGUAGAGAUUAGGAAGAACACCAGUGGCGAAGGCGACUCUCUGGACUGUAACUGACGCUGAGGCUCGAAAGCGUGGGGAGCAAACA